ensembl:lncRNA
CCUUUGUAUCCACAGGUUCAGGGUAGCGUUUUGAACACAUGCUUCGCGUUGUGCCGGCGAAACGCACAUUUCUUGUCGCGUUGUGCCGGCGAAAUGCACACUUCUUGGACCCCUGCAUAACUGCUUGCAGUUCUAGUUAGGGGUCCAAGCCAACAGGUUGGAUCCCUAUUGUUUUUGUAAGGAUUUUUAUUAGGGGUCCAAGCCAACAGGUUGGAUCCCUAUUGUUUUUGUAAGGAUUUUUAGGGGUCCAAGCCAACAGGUUGGAUCCCUAUUGUUUUUGUAAGGAUUAUUAUUAUUAUUCCGACGUGCUAAUCCUAAAAGUGUGCCCACAGCCCAAACCGUAAAUGGUGCCGACACGCCAAUUGCAUGACUAGAUCCAGGUCCCUGAGUUCUAAGCAGACGACAAAAUCCAGACACGCCGAACACUAGGUGGCGCUAUACCAAG